UACUUCCCUCAUAUUUAUGUGUAUGUGUGUGUGUGUGUGAGAGAGAGAUACUCAGGUAGGUGGCAGUGCAGUAAGGGUAGGCGCCCUUCCCCCCACCCCCUAGGGAGAGAGAGAAACAGAGAGAAAUGCUGCCUGCCCUACGGAAUGUCCCCUGAAACAAAAUGGCUCCCAUGGGGCCUGGCGCCACUCCUCUCCCUGGUGAUUUUGAGCCGAAAUGGCAGAUUCAGGCCUGCGAUGCUCCGCAGCAAACACAGAGCAACAGUGUCAACAAUGCCGUCACUCUCCUACCUGUGUGCUCUCGGCCAAAACACAUACACUUUACAGCCAGCACAUGGAACGCAGUCAGACCACAGGGACAGUGAAGCCACACACACACACACACACACACACACACACACACACACACACACACACACACACACACACACACACAGAACCAGUGGUUAUGUAAUGGGAGCAGAGAGUGCCUGUCUGAGGGGUUGGGGUGAAAGCCCUUUGUGGAGAGUGCCACAGUGAAUCAGCGCUCUGCAUGCUGGAGCUGGAGUGGAAAGUUCUUCUCAGCAACCAUCGCCAUUGUCAUCAGUGGGCUGAGUGUGUGUGUGUGUGUGUGUGUGUGUGUGUGUGGCCCUCAGGAGCCUGUAGUGCUGAGCACACAAACACAGGCCCAGUGUUCAGGUAGUUUUGACUUUGCCAUUGUCAUCAGUGGGCUGUGUGUGUGUGUGUGUGUGUGUGUGUGUGUGGCCCUAUGGAGCCUGCUGUGUGCGACCCUCAAACACAGGCCCAGUGUGUGUGUGUGUCUGUGUGUGUGUGUGUGUCGGUGUGUGUCUGUGUGUGUGUGGGUGUGUGUGUGUCGGUGUGUGUGUGUGUGUGUGUGGCCCUCAGGAGCCUGCUGUGUGCGACCCUCAAACACAGGCCCAGUGUGUGUGUGUGUGUGUGUGUGUGUGGCCCUCAGGAGCCUGCUGUGUGCGACCCUCAAACACAGGCCCAGUGUUCAGGUAGUUUUGAAUUUGCCAUAGUCUCUGAAGCAGGAGGGUUGUGGUGGUCUGUCCAGGCCCAGUGUGUGUGUGUGUGUGUGUGUGUGUGUGUGUGUGUGUGUGUGUGUGUCCAGGCCCAGUGUGUGUGUGUGGGUGUGUGUGUGUGUGUGUGUGUGUGUGUGUGUGUGUGUGUCCAGGCCCAGUGUAAGCCUACCCCCAAUUGCAUGGAUGGCAGGGGGCUCUCUGUUGCAGUCUGAUGCCCAGAUGUACCCCCAGAUGUGCCCCCAGAUGUACCCCCAUCAGGGCCGCACCCCGUGGCCUGUUGUCAAUGGCUACCUAACGGUCUAGUGGAGCCCAUAAACUUGGUGUCUGUGAAGCGUUCUCCUCUCCUCUAUUCGGUUCUGCUCUGUCCUGUUCUCCUCAGCUCUCAAAUCAAGUGUGUGUGUGUGUGUGUGUGUGUGUGUGUGUGUGUGUGUCCAGGCCCAGUGUGUGUGUGUGUGUGUGUUCUCCUCAGCUCUCAAGUCAACUCCCUUCAUCCCUGCAGACAGUGUUGGUUUCUGCAGCUUACUUAAUUGAUUAUCAAUGUUUUAUUGGAGAAAAAGAAAUAAUGUGAAAUUUAGAAAAGCUCAUCUAAUUUGGAGGCUUUUUAAGGUGGCGUAUGAACUAAUCAUAUGUGUUGUCAUGGGCUACAGCUAACGACUCUUAACUUGAAACGAAUAAUCGGCUAUGCGUGUUAUGAAUGGCACAGUCGCUAAAUGGCUCUUAUUUAGCGAUCAGCCAUGAAAUGUAGCUUGAGGUUGUGUUAGGCGUUUAGCUCGUGGUCCUUUAUUGACAAUUAAGAGCUGUUGAUCAACAGAAAAUGGAUUUCUGAAUAGAAAAUUUGACACCUCAUAAUGCGAAGUAACAUGGCUUUGAACAUCCUCUUCAGAUGCUGGAGCAUAACUGAUGCGCUCCCUUGCCAGGCAAGGACAGCUUGGCAAAUGCUUCAGUUCAACCCUCUUGACCGAGUAAAGAGUAAAAUGCAGCCACACUUCUGAGGAGUCAUCAUGUCUAUUGUAGGGCCAAUGAUUUUCCGCGAUAACGGAAAACGGACGGAAUUCGAGGAAUGUACCCUUUGAAACGGAAUUGCAACUUUCAAACGGAAACACCAUUUUGUGCAUCAAAAUCACCCAAAUUCCCCUGUAUUUUGUCCUGCAAGACUGUAUUUAUUUCAAAUAAGCACAACAACGAUUGCAAGGAUGAACAAACAUUGAACAAAAUUAACCAAAAAAAAAAAAACAUUGAGAAAAUGUCACGUCUGUGUUGAACUCCGCUCAGGCCACGCCCCCCUAUUGAACGGUUGACGCUACAAUUCACAUUAAUUCGCGCAUCUUCCCAAUCGCCUGCAAAUAAUGUUUUUUUAGUCUUCUGUUCUGUUGAUGGCUGGCAAACAACAAUCUUAGAAGGUUUGGGUCUCUUGUGGCACAUAUUAUUUACUCAUUUUAAGCUAUCAAUCUACCUCAAGGUGAACAAAAUGAGCCGAAACGGAAAAAAAACGGAAUUCACCAAAUGUGAAACGGAAAACUCAUUUUUUUUAAACGGAAAAUCAUUGGCCCUACUAUUGUUUACUCCAGUAAAGUAAUGGAGCCUACAUGUCAUGACGUCAUCAACAACUCAGUAAUUCAGCAACUCAUUUGGAGAUCGAUUGAAGUCGACCACAUUAAUUAUUGGUUGCAGGCCCUGUGUUGUCAGUGCAGAGGCCAGGCACUUUCACCUAGUGCAUUAUUCAUGUUUGCUAACGGUGAUGCCCCCCCC
ensembl:lncRNA